rnacentral:rRNA from 1 species
GUCUAUGGCCAUGCCACACUGAAUAAGCCCGAUCCUGUCUGAUCUCAGACACUAAGCAGGGUCAGGCCUGGUCAAUACUUGGAUGGGAAACCACGUAGGAAUACCAGAUGCUAUAGGCG